rnacentral:rRNA from 1 species
CACGUAGGGUGCAAGCGUUGUCCGGAAUUAUUGGGCGUAAAGGGCUCGUAGGCGGUCCGUCACGUCGGGGAGUGAAAACUCGGGGCUUAAACCCCGAGCCUGCUUUCGAUACGGGCGGACUAGAGGUAGGUAGGGGGAGAACGGAAUUCCUGGUGUAGCGGUGAAAUGCGCAGAUAUCAGGAGGAACACCGAUGGCGAAGGCAGGUCUCUGGGCCGAUACUGACGUGAGGAGCGAAAAGCCGUGGGGGAGCGAAACAGG